rnacentral:lncRNA from 1 species
GAACUCGAAGUUUAGUGUAAGGAAGUAGAUUCUCGAAAUGCGAGAGUUGGAUUUUGAUUAAAAUCGACUGAUUGUUGGUUGGGUAUGCUUCGGAAAGGCCGAAGGCGUCAAAAACCUAAAAAGUGCAUUAAUGAGGGCUUUGGAGAGCAAGAUAGAGGAAUUCUGCAACUUCGCAAAUUUUGCUCUCGGGGACUGGUCCCUGGUGGGAGAGAUCGGUCCCCGUAAGCAGAUGUGCGGCAGAAAAGUUCUGCGCACGAUAAUUGCUCUCGGGGUCCAGUCCCUCAGGAGGGGACCGGUCCCUGAAGGUCCGGUCCCUCAUGCGAGGAUUGGUCCUCGUAUGUGUAGAAACUGGCAGAAGAACUCUGCCCGCAGAAGCUGUUCUCGGGGACCGGUCCCUCCGUAGGGAGACUGGUCCCCGCACCCGAAAACUGCCCAGGCUGGGCAGGGCAAGAGAUGAGAAGUGGAGGGGGCUUUUGACAAUUGUUGCAUGAGAAGGGCUAAAUAGGGGAUUUCCCUUCUCUUCUCUUUUACCCUCCCUCACAACACACUCUCCCUCUCUCUCUCUAAACUCCUUUCUCUCUCUCUAGAAGGUGAAGAAGGAGGAGGAUUUGGUGGAGAUCAAGGCCAAGGGAAGGAUUAGCAUCAUCUUCUUUUUCCUUUCCACCAUUCGAGCUUGCUUUAGAGGUAAGCUCAUGAGAGCUUUCAUGGUAGAUCCCUUUGGAUGGGUUUUUAUCUCCUAGAAUUGGUUUUAUUGGAUCUCUUUGAUGCCAAAUAGAAGGUUUAUGCUUGAAUUUUGGGGUUUAGAGAUGGAUUCUUGCAUUGGUGCUAACCUAGGGCUUAAAAUUGGAGUUUUUGGAAAUC